rnacentral:rRNA from 1 species
UACGUAGGGUGCGAGCGUUGUCCGGAAUUAUUGGGCGUAAAGAGCUUGUAGGUGGUUUGUCGCGUCUGCUGUGAAAAUCCGAGGCUCAACCUCGGACUUGCAGUGGGUACGGGCAGACUAGAGUGUGGUAGGGGAGACUGGAAUUCCUGGUGUAGCGGUGAAAUGCGCAGAUAUCAGGAGGAACACCGGUGGGCGAAGGCGGG